CCUACGGGGGGCAGCAGUAAGGAAUAUUGGUCAAUGGACGAAAGUCUGAACCAGCCAUCCCGCGUGCAGGAUGAAAGCCCUAUGGGUUGUAAACUGCUUUUAGCAGAGAAGAAAAGCUUUCAUUAAUGAGAGUCUGACGGUAUCUGCAGAAUAAGCACCGGCUAACUCCGUGCCAGCAGCCGCGGUAAUACGGAGGGUGCGAGCGUUAUCCGGAAUAACGGGGUUUAAAGGGUAGGUUUGCGUCAGAGUUGAAAUCUGGUCGCUUAACGAUAAAAUUGCCAAUGAUACUGGUACUCUUGAAUUGGGUUGAGGUUAGCGGAAUGUGACAUGUAGCGGUGAAAUGCAUAGAUAUGUCAUGGAACACCAAUUGCGAAGGCAGCUAACUGGGCCUUGAUUGACGCUGAGGCACGAAAGCGUGGGGAGCGAACAGGAUUAGAUACCCUUGUAGUC
rnacentral:rRNA from 1 species